UAGGGAAUAUUAGAAAUGGACGAAAGUCUGAUCUAGCAACACCGCGUGUGCGAAGAAGGCCUUCGGGUUGUAAAGCACUUUUUGGAAGGAAUAGGAAGGAAGGUACUUCCAGAAUAAGUCUCGGCUAACUACGUGCCAGCAGCCGCGGUAACACGUAGGAGGCAAACGUUAUCCGGAUUUACUGGGCGUAAAGCGCGUGUAGGUGGUUCUGUAAGUAGGGCGUGAAAGCUCCUGGCUUAACUGGGAGAGGCCGUUCUAAACUGCAGAGCUAGAGGAUGGUAGAGGGAGGUGGAAUUCCGGGUGUAGCGGUGGAAUGCGCAGAUAUCCGGAGGAACACCAGUGGCGAAAGCGGCCUCCUGGACCAUUCCUGACACUCAGACGCGAAAGCUAGGGUAGCAAACG
rnacentral:rRNA from 1 species